ensembl:miRNA
AACAGUAAGAGUUUAUGUGCUGUUCUUUAACUCUCAGCACAUGAGCUUUUACGGUGC